AGCCCCCACUGUUGGCAAGCAAGACGAUGCCCAGGGUUUCGCACCGGUGACCGGCACUGCUCUCAAGCCACAGCAAGGCCAUCCUUCAAGACGGGCCCAGUGGAAGGGGUCCAUCUGGCCAGGUGGCAGGGCGGCACAGGGUCUCCUAAGUUACUUUAAAGCAAAGAAAACAGUUCCAAAGAGACGAAGGCUGUCUAAGCAGCAGACAACAGGAAGGACCCAUCCUCUGAUCCAGCAGUUCCUGUUUCUAAAAAUGUACCUCAAGGAAAUAAGCAACUAGAAGUGAAAGUAUUUAUGUGGAGAUAUGUUAACUUCGGCACUACCUGUCAUGGCAAACAACUCAGAAAACUAUAGCAGCUGGUCAGUGACCCAACAAAAGGAUGAAUCCCUGGCACUGAACUGGAGGGUCUGAGCUGGAGGGUGCACCUUGCCUGCUGCCAGGAGGGAGGGCCGAGACUCUGAAGGCAAAACAGAGUGGAGAACAGCACACAACAGAGUCUUGCAGGUGCUGUGGACACUGAGGCUCCUGGAGAGGAACACCUUGAUUCUCUAGGCUUUCCUUGUUUUGGCUCCCUUCAACCCAGGGGACCCAGAUAAGCAGAUAAGCAGCUCUACCGGGAAGCAGGCAGGAGAGAAAAAGUGUGAUUCAAACCAGUCCAUUAUAUUCCUUGGUGGUAACAACAGAAAAAACUUUGAUAAGAGGGUAACU